CUCAGCUCUCGUCAGCCUCCGGCUGUCCUUUGAAACCGAACGCCAUGCCUUCCAUUAAGUUGCAGAGUUCUGAUGAAGAGAUAUUUGAAGUUGAUGUGGAAAUUGCCAAACGGUCUGUGACUAUCAAGACGAUGUUGGAAGAUUUGGGAAUGGAUGAUAAAGGAGAUGAAGACCCAGUUCCUCUACCAAAUGUUAAUGCAACAGUAUUAAAAAAAGUUCAUUCAGUGGUACACCCACCACAAGGAUGACCCUCCUCCUCAUGAGGAUGAUGAGAACAACAAGCGAACAGACGAUAUCCCUGUUUGGGACCAAGAAUUCCUGAAAGUUGACCAAGGAACACUUUUUGAACUUAUUCUGGCUGCAAACUACUUAGACAUCAAAGAUUUGCUUGAUGUUACGUGCAAGACUGUUGCCAAUAUCAUCAAGGGAAAAACUCCUGAAGAGAUUCGCAAGACCUUCAAUAUCAAAAAUGACUUUACUGAAGAGGAGGAAGCCCAGGUACGCAAAGAGAACCAGUGGUGUGAAGAGAAGUGAAAUGUUGUGCCUGACACGGUAACACUUUUUUGGCCGGGGCUGCGUUUGAACCCACCACCUCCACUACAUGGGGCCAGUGCCCUACUCCUUUGAACCACAGGCGCCGCCCCAUUGAUUUUUUAUUUUCUUCCCCUCCUUGUGCUCUUUUUUUCUUCUUCCUUUCACAGUUACAUUAUUUGUAUUCAUUUGUAACCUUACUGUAUUCUCUUAUACUCUGAGUUCUUCAGGCUCUGAU